AUACCCGUAGUUCAACUGGAUAGAAUAGUCGCCUCCGACGCGACCGGUUCCGAGUUCGACUCUCGGCGGGUAUACCA
rnacentral:tRNA from 1 species